rnacentral:tRNA from 1 species
GAGGGUAUAGCUCAGUGGUGGAGUGCAUGCUUAGCAUGCAUGAGGUACUAGGCUCAAUUCCCAGUACCUCCA